UACGUAGGGGGCAAGCGUUGUCCGGAAUUAUUGGGCGUAAAGCGCGUGUAGGCGGCUUGGUAAGUCCGUUCUGAAAGCCCAGGGCUCAACCCUGGGAGGCGGAUGGAUACUGUCAAGCUCGAGUCCGGAAGAGGCGAGUGGAAUUCCCGGUGUAGCGGUGAAAUGCGCAGAUAUCGGGAGGAACACCAAUGGCGAAGGCAGCUCGCUGGGACGUGACUGACGCUGAGACGCGAAAGCGUGGGGAGCAAACAGG
rnacentral:rRNA from 1 species